CCUACGGGUGGCUGCAGUGAGGAAUAUUGGGCAAUGGGCGCGAGCCUGACCCAGCCAAGUAGCGUGAAGGAUGACUGCCCUACGGGCUGUAAACUUCUUUUAUAAAGGAAUAAAUUGAUGCACGUGUGCAUUUUUGUAUUUACUUUAUGUAUAAGGAUCGCCUAACUCCGUGCCAGCAGCCGCGGUAAUACGGAGGAUACGAGCGUUAUCCGGAUUUAUUGGGUUUAAAGGGAGCGUAGAUGGGUUGUUAAGUCAGUUGUGAAAGUUUGCGGCUCAACCGUAAAAUUGCAAUUGAUACUGGCAGACUUGAGUACAGUUGAGGUAGGCGGAAUUCGUGGUGUAGCGGUGAAAUGCUUAGAUAUCACGAAGAACUCCGAUUGCGAAGGCAGCUUACUAAACUGCCACUGACAUUGAUGCUCGAAAGUGUGGGGAUCAAACAGGAUUAGAUACCCCUGUAGUC
rnacentral:rRNA from 1 species